UACGUAGGGGGCUAGCGUUGUCCGGAAUCAUUGGGCGUAAAGCGCGUGUAGGCGGUCCGGUAAGUCCGCUGUGAAAGUCGGGGGCUCAACCCUCGGAUGCCGGUGGAUACUGUCGGGCUUGAGUACGGAAGAGGCGAGUGGAAUUCCUGGUGUAGCGGUGAAAUGCGUAGAUAUCAGGAGGAAUACCUAUGGCGAAAGCAGGUCUCUGGGCCAUAACUGACGCUGAGCUGCGAAAGCUAGGGGAGCAAACAGG
rnacentral:rRNA from 1 species